UACGUAGGGUGCGGAGCGUUAAUCGGAAUUACUGGGCGUAAAGCGCACGUAGGCGGAUUGUAAGUCAGGGGUGAAAUCCCGGGCUCAACCUCGGAACUGCCUUUGAUACUGCAAGUCUCGAGUCCGAUAGAGGUGAGUGGAAUUCCUAGUGUAGAGGUGAAAUUCGUAGAUAUUAGGAAGAACACCAGUGGCGAAGGCGGCUCACUGGAUCGGUACUGACGCUGAGGUGCGAAAGCGUAGGGAGCAAACAGG
rnacentral:rRNA from 1 species